GGAGAGGUACCGAAGUGGUCGUAACGGGCUCGACUCGAAAUCGAGUUGGGGGCUAGCCACUCCCACGUGGGUUCGAAUCCCACCCUCUCCGCCA
rnacentral:tRNA from 1 species